rnacentral:rRNA from 1 species
UACAGGGGGUGCAAACGUUGCUCGGAAUCAUUGGGCGUAAAGCGCACGUAGGCGGUUUGUUAUGUCGGAUGUGAAAGCCCUUGGCUCAACUGAGGAAGUGCAUCCGAAACUGGCAAGCUAGAGUACUAAAGAGGAUCGCGGAAUUCCCGGUGUAGAGGUGAAAUUCGUAGAUAUUCGCAAGAACACCAGUGGCGAAGGCGGCUCACUGGCCCGAUACUGACGCUGAGGCACGAAAGCGUGGGGAGCAAACAGG